rnacentral:rRNA from 1 species
GGCAGCAGUGGGGAAUAUUGCACAAUGGGGGAAACCCUGAUGCAGCGACGCCGCGUGAAGGAAGAAGUAUCUCGGUAUGUAAACUUCUAUCAGCAGGGAAGAGAUUGACGGUACCUGACUAAGAAGCCCCGGCUAACUACGUGCCAGCAGCCGCGGUAAUACGUAGGGGGCAAGCGUUAUCCGGAUUUACUGGGUGUAAAGGGAGCGUAGACGGAUGGACAAGUCUGAUGUGAAAGGCUGGGGCUCAACCCCGGGACUGCAUUGGAAACUGCCCGUCUUGAGUGCCGGAGAGGUAAGCGGAAUUCCUAGUGUAGCGGUGAAAUGCGUAGAUAUUAGGAGGAACACCAGUGGCGAAGGCGGCUUACUGGACGGUAACUGACGUUGAGGCUCGAAAGCGUGGGGAGCAAACAGGAUUAGAUACCCUGGUAGUCCACGCGGUAAACGAUGAAUGCUAGGUGUCGGGUGACAAAGUCAUUCGGUGCCGCCGCAAACGCAUUAAGCAUUCCACCUGGGGAGUACGUUCGCAAGAAUGCAACUCAAA